AACCGGCCCGGACCGGUAACCGGACGGGUCGAAAAAAAAUCGACCCGGACCGGACCGGUGGAACCGGUUGACACCUCUAGGUGAGACACAUCUGAGAAGUAGAACACAUUAGAAAGUCACUAUGCCUCAAUUGUCCGGUGACUUUUCACGGCUAUCUUGCUUUAUCUCUCUCCGUCAGUGUUGUGCAAAAUCCAACACUACCAAAAGAUCCAUCAUCGUUUGGUGACCAAAC
rnacentral:lncRNA from 1 species